rnacentral:rRNA from 1 species
AACGAACGCUGGCGGCAGGCUUAACACAUGCAAGUCGAACGCCCCGCAAGGGGAGUGGCAGACGGGUGAGUAACGCGUGGGAAUCUACCCAUCUCUAGGGGAUAACACAGAGAAAUUUGUGCUAAUACCCUAUACGUCCUCCGGGAGAAAGAUUUAUCGGGGAUGGAUGAGCCCGCGUAGGAUUAGCUAGUUGGUGGGGUAAUGGCCCACCAAGGCGACGAUCCUUAGCUGGUCUGAGAGGAUGACCAGCCACACUGGGACUGAGACACGGCCCAGACUCCUACGGGAGGCAGCAGUGGGGAAUAUUGGACAAUGGGCGCAAGCCUGAUCCAGCCAUGCCGCGUGAGUGAUGACGGCCUUAGGGUUGUAAAGCUCUUUCACCCACGACGAUAAUGACGGUAGUGGGAGAAGAAGCCCCGGCUAACUUCGUGCCAGCAGCCGCCGUAACAC